rnacentral:rRNA from 1 species
UACGUAGGGCGCGAGCGUUGUCCGGAAUUAUUGGGCGUAAAGAGCUCGUAGGUGGCUUGUUGCGUCUGCCGUGAAAGCCCGUGGCUUAACUACGGGUCUGCGGUGGAUACGGGCAGGCUAGAGGCUGGUAGGGGCAAGCGGAAUUCCUGGUGUAGCGGUGAAAUGCGCAGAUAUCAGGAGGAACACCGGUGGCGAAGGCGGCUUCUGGGCCAGUUCUGACGUGAGGAGCGAAAGCGUGGGGAGCGAACAGG